UUUGAUUAUGGCUCAGGAUGAACGCUGACAGAAUGCUUAACACAUGCAAGUCAACUUGAAUUUGGGUUUUUAACUUAGAUUUGGGUGGCGGACGGGUGAGUAACGCGUAGAGAACUUGCCUCACAGUUAGGGACAACAUUUAGAAAUGAAUGCUAAUACCUGAUAUUAUGGUUAUAGGGCAUCCUAUAACUAUGAAAGCUAUAAGCACUGUGAGAGAGCUUUGCGUCCCAUUAGCUAGUUGGAGAGGUAACAGCUCACCAAGGCGAUGAUGGGUAGCCGGCCUGAGAGGGUGAACGGCCACAAGGGGACUGAGACACGGCCCUUACUCCUACGGGAGGCAGCAGUGGGGAAUAUUGGACAAUGGACCGAGAGUCUGAUCCAGCAAUUCUGUGUGCACGAUGAAGUUUUUCGGAAUGUAAAGUGCUUUCAGUUGGGAAGAAAGAAAUGACGGUACCAACAGAAGAAGUGACGGCUAAAUACGUGCCAGCAGCCGCGGUAAUACGUAUGUCACGAGCGUUAUCCGGAUUUAUUGGGCGUAAAGCGCGUCUAGGUGGUUAUGUAAGUCUGAUGUGAAAAUGCAGGGCUCAACUCUGUAUUGCGUUGGAAACUGUAUAACUAGAGUACUGGAGAGGUAAGCGGAACUACAAGUGUAGAGGUGAAAUUCGUAGAUAUUUGUAGGAAUGCCGAUGGGGAAGCCAGCUUACUGGACAGAUACUGACGCUAAAGCGCGAAAGCGUGGGUAGCAAAACAGGAUUAGAUACCCUGGUAGUCCACGCUGUAAACGAUGAUUACUAGGUGUUGGGGGUCGAAACCUCAGCGCCCAAGCAAAACGCGAUAAGUAAUCCGCCUGGGGAGUACGUACGCAAAGUAUGAAACUCAAAAGGAAAUUGACGGGGACCCGCACAAGCGGUGGAGCAUGUGGUUUAAAUUCGACGCAAACGCGAGGAACCUUACCAGCGUUUGACUUCUUAGGGAUGAGAUAGAGAUAUUUCAGUGUCCCUUCGGGGAAACCUAAGAACAGGUGGUGCAUGGCUGUCGUUCGGCUCGUGUCGUGAGAUGUUGGGUUAAGUCCCGCAACGAGCGCGAACCCCCUUUCGUAUGUUACCAUUCAUUAAGUUGGGAACUCAUGCGAUACUGCCUUACGAUGAAGUAGGAGGAGGGUGGGAAUGAACGUCAGUUCUCUGUGCCCCCUUAUACGCUGGGCUACGCGCGUGCUAGAGUGGGGGAACGGAGAGUUGCGAAGGCCGUGAGGUG
rnacentral:rRNA from 1 species